UAGUAGCUAUGAUGUUGGCUCGGCUCACUCAGACCACCUCUCCGAUCCUCAGCUCGUGUCCAUUGCGACAUCGAUCAUGUAUAUAUGUCGCUGGUCGUGGUUUCUGAUUGAGCCGUGCCAAUAUCUCAGUACUCUUC
rfam:Sorghum bicolor cultivar BTx623 chromosome 1, whole genome shotgun sequence.